rnacentral:rRNA from 1 species
GAUGAACGCUGGCGGCGUGCCUAAUACAUGCAAGUCGAGCGAACGGACGAGAAGCUUGCUUUUCUGAUGUUACCGGCGGACGUGUGAGUAACACGUGGAUAAACUACCUAUAAGACUGGGAUAACUUUGGCAAAUCGGAGCUGAUACCGGAUAAUAUUUUGAACCGCAUUGUUCAAAAGUGAAAGACGGUUUUGCUGUCACUUGUAGAUCGAUCCUCCCUGCCUUGGCUAUUUGGUAAGGUAACGGCAUACCAAGGCAACGAUCCAUAGCCGACCUGAGAGGGUGAGAGGCCACCCCGGAACGGAAACGCGGUCCAGACUCUUACGGUAGGCAGCAGUAGGGAAUCUUCCGCGAUGGGCUAAGGCCUGACGGGACAACGCCGCGGUAGGUAUGAAAGUCUUCGGAUCUUAAAACUCAGUUAUUAGGGAAGAACAAAUAUGUAAGUAACUGUACACAUCUUGACAGUACCUAAACAAAAAGCCACGGCUAACUACGUG